UACGGGGGGGGCAAGCGUUGUUCGGAAUUACUGGGCGUAAAGGGCUCGUAGGCGGCCAACUAAGUCGGAUGUGAAAUCCCCAGGCUUAACCUGGGAACUGCAUCCGAUACUGGAUGGCUUGAAUCCGGGAGAGGGAUGCGGAAUUCCAGGUGUAGCGGUGAAAUGCGUAGAUAUCUGGAGGAACACCGGUGGCGAAGGCGGUUCUGCUGGGCAUGUUCUGACGCUGAGGAGCGAAAGUGUGGGGAGCGAACAGG
rnacentral:rRNA from 1 species